ACGCGAGAACACGGCUUCGUUUACCCUCCGAAGCCAAAGGUCGUUGGUUCGAAUCCAAUACCGCGUACCA
rnacentral:tRNA from 1 species